GGGCACAGGCUCUGCAGAAGACAGAGUGGAAGGGAGGGGAGUCACCCUUCCCAGGCCAGCACUGGUACCCAGGGCACCUUGCUCUCCUUCCCUCCCUCCAAGAGAGGCAUAGAGCUCACUUCAUUCCUCCCAUGCAGCUUAGCCCUUCUGUCCUCCAAAGUCCAGAUUCUAGAGCCAGCUGUCAUCACCCUAGUUUACACACACAGGCGCCUCUCAUUAGACAGUAAGGCACACCAGGUGUCUUAGUCAGGGUUUCUAUUCCUGCACAAACAUCAUGACCAAGAAGCAAGUUGGGAAGGAAAGGGUUUAUUCAGCUUACACUUCCACAUUGCUGUUCAUCACCAAGGAAGUCAGGACUAUAACUCAAGCAGGUCAGGAAGCAGCAGAGGCCAUGGAGGGAUGUUCUUUACUGGCUUGCUUCCCCUGGCUUUCGCAGCCUACUCUCUUAUAGAACCAAGACUACCAGCCCAGAGAUGGUCCCACCCACAAGGGACCUUUCCCCCUUGAUCACUAAUUGAGAAAAUGCCUUACACUUGGAUCACAUGGAGGCAUUUCCUCAACUGAAGCUCCUUUCUCUGUGAUAACUCCAGCUUUGUCAAGUUGACACAAAACUAGCCAGUACACUGGGUAUGUAUCAUUGGGCGCCUGGAAGGAAUUGGUCAGCAUCUCUUCCAUCCUUACAACCUCCUGGGGAAGGAAGAACAACUUUGAGGAGCCCAUCCACCCAGCAUCCAGCGAUGCUCACCUUUGCCACUCAUAACUCCCUUGUUCACAGCCCAACAUAAAAUUCCCAAGUCCACAGUAGGAGACACUGUUCCCAGAGGCGACCAGAAGCAACUGUCACUGAGAGCCAGACAAGGCGGUGGGGGGUGGGGGUCCUCCUUACUGGUAUUUCCUGCUAAGACAGGGAGGACCUAUCUGUGGACCCUGGACUCACCACUGGCCCCUGGGGGACUUGGCAUCUAAGAGAAGAGAGAGCAGAGGACAGGGCACAUGUGCCAAUGGGAGGAGCCUGCCAGCCUUCCCACCUCUGUUCCCCUUUGCAUUCUUGGCCUUACAACAAACAGCACUUCCUGUGGUUAUUCUCUUGGCUGUGUCCUGUCCCCACCUCCGUUCUCACCAGUGGAGUGCUGAGAUUACAGAUGUUCGUUCAUGCCUUACCUAUGUCACAGGGAACUGAAGGCAGCACGCUUGUAUGACAGACCUAGUACCCCAUUGAGCCAUCUCAUCUGUCUCUCCAUCCAUCCACCCACCUACCUUUCUGUUUUUCUCUUGGUGGUCUCAGGGUUAUUCUUUCCCAAUCAGCAAGGACCCCAGCACUCCUACAGUGAGAAGCGAGAAGGCUUGCUAUGCUGGACCACACAAUGGAAACAAGAUGGGCCCUGUCUCAGCAAGGGAAGAGAGAACAGACUCCCAAAGUUGUCCUCUGACCGCCACAGCCAUGCCAAGGCACACUCACCUGCACGACAAGCACACGGAAUUGGUUAAUGUUUUAAUUGGAGAGAUGGCUGAGUUGAUAAAACGCCUGAGGACCUGAGUUUGACUCCCCAGCAUCAGGAUCAAGAUGUAGAACUCUGGCUCCUCCAUCACCAAGUCUGCCUGCACGCUGCCAUGCUUCCUGCCAUGAUGAUAAUGGACUAAACCUCCGAAACGCAAUGGAAGCCCUAACUAAGAUGUUCAUGAAAACCGGUAUCAAACUUGCUGAAUACAUCUGAAGAUCUAUGUUCCAUCCUUGGAGCCCACAGUGAAAGGAGAGAACCGACUCCUGAAAGCUGACCUCUGACCUCCACCGAUGCACCGGGGCAUCCUGACACUUCCUCCUCCCGAAAGUCCUAUCCCUGGCCAGGACCAGAAAGCACUCUAUUCAUCUGGCUCCUGAAUCCUGAUCCAGGAAGAAGGGGAAGCUGGGACUAUGCAGAAGAAGAGACCAAAUCCACAGUGACAUGGAUCCCAUGGGAGAGCCCGGCUUGUGCUAUCCCUCACCAGGUACGCUCGGGGAAGUGAGGAGAAGGGACAAAAGAGAAUAGCAUCUAGGAGCCAGAAUCCUAUUCAUAAUUUCCAGCCUCGGAAUGGGCGUAUGGCCUACACUUUUAAUCCCAGAGGCAAAGACAGGAAGAGAGAGCUCUGAAUUGAAGAUCAGCUUGCUUUAUAUUGUGAAUUCCAAGCCAUUCG
rnacentral:lncRNA from 1 species